rnacentral:rRNA from 1 species
UACGGGGGGGCAAGCGUUGUUCGGAAUUACUGGGCGUAAAGGGCUCGUAGGCGGCCAACUAAGUCAGACGUGAAAUCCCUCGGCUUAACCGGGGAACUGCGUCUGAUACUGGAUGGCUUGAGGUUGGGAGAGGGAUGCGGAAUUCCAGGUGUAGCGGUGAAAUGCGUAGAUAUCAGGAGGAACACCGGUGGCGAAGGCGGGUCUCUGGGCCGAUAUCGACGCUGAGGAGCGAAAGCGUGGGGAGCGAACAGG